rnacentral:rRNA from 1 species
AGAGUUUGAUCCUGGCUCAGGAUGAACGCUAGCGACAGGCUUAACACAUGCAAGUCGAGGGGCAGCAUGAAGUUACUUCGGUAACUUUGGUGGCGACCGGCGCACGGGUGCGUAACGCGUAUGCAACCUACCCAUAACUCUUGGAUAGCCCAUGGAAACGUGGAUUAAUACAGGAUGGUCUAUGAAAAUUGCAUGAUUUUCAUAGUAAAGAAUUUCGGUUAUGGAUGGGCAUGCGUUCCAUUAGGUAGUAGGUGAGGUAACGGCUCACCUAGCCCAUGAUGGAUAGGGGUUCUGAGAGGAAGGUCCCCACAUUGGAACUGAGACACGGUCCAAACUCCAACGGGAGGCAGCAGUGAGGAAUAUUGGUCAAUGGCCUGAGGGCUGAACCAGCCAAGUCGCGUGAGGGAUGACUGCCCUAUGGGUUGUAAACCUCUUUUGUUUGGGAAGAAUAAGAUUUACGUGUAGAUUGAUGCCGGUACCAAACGAAUAAGCAUCGGCUAACUCCGUGCCAGCAGCCGCGGUAAUACGGGGGAUGCGAGCGUUAUCCGGAUUUAUUGGGUUUAAAGGGUGCGUAGGCGGUAGAUUAAGUUAGUGGUCAAAUCGAGAGGCUUAACCUCUUUCAGCCAUUAAUACUGGUCAACUAGAGUGUGGACGAGGUAGGCGGAAUAAGUCAAGUAGCGGUGAAAUGCUUAGAUAUGACUUAGAACUCCGAUAGCGAAGGCAGCUUACCAGGCCAUAACUGACGCUGAAGCACGAGAGCGUGGGUAGCGAACAGGAUUAGAUACCCUGGUAGUCCACGCCGUAAACGAUGCUCA